rnacentral:rRNA from 1 species
GAUGAACGCUGGCGGCGUGCCUAAUACAUGCAAGUCGAGCGAACGGACGAGAAGCUUGCUUCUCUGAUGUUAGCGGCGGACGGGUGAGUAACACGUGGAUAACCUACCUAUAAGACUGGGAUAACUUCGGGAAACCGGAGCUAAUACCGGAUAAUAUUUUGAACCGCAUGGUUCAAAAGUGAAAGACGGUCUUGCUGUCACUUAUAGAUGGAUCCGCUCUGCAUUAGCUAGUUGGUAAGGUAACGGCUUACCAAGGCAACGAUGCAUAGCCGACCUGAGAGGGUGAUCGGCCACACUGGAACUGAGACACGGUCCAGACUCCUACGGGAGGCAGCAGUAGGGAAUAUUCCGCAAUGGGCGAAAGCCUGACGGAGCAACGCCGCGUGAGUGAUGAAGGUCUUCGGAUCGUAAAACUCUGUUAUUAGGGAAGAACAUAUGUGUAAGUAACUGUGCACAUCUUGACGGUACCUAAUCAGAAAGCCACGGCUAACUACGUG